AGGGAGGCGACGGGGGGAGAGAGAGAGAGAGACGAGGAGGGGGAGGGAGGGAGAAGAAAACACCUGGAGAACAGAACAUGGCUGCUCCACACUUUCCCCCCUCCUUCCCUCCCUUUCUCCCCGUGUUUUUUCCUCUCCUCGUCUCUCCUCCCUCCUUUCCUUUCUUACCCCUGUUUUCACUCCCU
rnacentral:sRNA from 1 species